rnacentral:rRNA from 1 species
UACGGAGGGGGCUAGCGUUGUUCGGAAUUACUGGGCGUAAAGCGCACGUAGGCGGACCGGAAAGUCAGAGGUGAAAUCCCAGGGCUCAAUCUUGGAACUGCCUUUGAAACUCCUGGUCUUGAGGUCGAGAGAGGUGAGUGGAAUUCCGAGUGUAGAGGUGAAAUUCGUAGAUAUUCGGAGGAACACCAGUGGCGAAGGCGGCUCACUGGCUCGAUACUGACGCUGAGGUGCGAAAGCGUGGGGAGCAAACAGG